rnacentral:sRNA from 1 species
UGACCGCGACCUUCCGACGGUCCAGCCA